rnacentral:snRNA from 1 species
GCUCGGGGGUCCCAGUUCCGAACCCGUCGG